AUUGUUAUGGAAUCCCCCAUUAUUUUAACCGAUUGCAUACCAAUUGAGAUCUCUAAAUUUAUGGCUUCUAAACAUGCAUAUGCUUCUGCUGGAAACGGGGAAAAGAAGUCAUUGUGAAGGGUCAAAUUUGAGACCAGGAGUUCACCCAUCAUACCCUAAACCACCAGACCUGUCGCUGAUUUGAAGUUGCUAUUAUCGAACGUUGCAUCAAACUGAAUCUUAUUUCUCGGUCUCUUCUUGUCAUAUUUUUCCUCUCAUGUAUAAGUUGGUUUCUGGAAAACCAGAUUAACCAUAAGGCAUAACAAAAAAGUCGACAUUGUUCAUCGGUACCUCUCUUGAAAACCCAUGGCAUUGAUGAAAGAUAUGAGGACUGUCUUCUUCCCAGGAAUAGCAGCAGGGACAUCUGUCGUAUGAAAAUGACUCUUCUGUAUCUGAGAUUAGCUAGAUUAGGAAUAAAAUCCUAGGAAAUUCGCCAAAUAGUGAUUGUGAUUUUUGAAGGUAGCUGUAGGCUCCAUAGUUUCCUGUAAAAUUCUCUGGUUUUGGCUUGUAUUAAAUAAUUACUAGGAUCCAAAUUAGCCUCUUAUAAUAGUUUAUAGGCACUACGUACUGAAUAUUCACCGGACGAUUCUCCUUUCCAAA